GGGUUGUGAGGUUAAGCGACUAAGCGUACACGGUGGAUGCCCUGGCAGUCAGAGGCGAUGAAGGACGUGCUAAUCUGCGAAAAGCGUCGGUAAGGUGAUAUGAACCGUUACAGCCGGCGAUGUCCGAAUGGGGAAACCCAGUGCAAUUCGUUGCACUAUCGUUAACUGAAUACAUAGGUUAACGAGGCGAACCGGGGGAACUGAAACAUCUAAGUACCCCGAGGAAAAGAAAUCAACCGAGAUUCCCCCAGUAGCGGCGAGCGAACGGGGAGCAGCCCAGAGUCUGAAUCAGCUUGUGUGUUAGUGGAACGGUCUGGAAAGUCCGACGGUACAGGGUGAUAGUCCCGUACACCAAAAUGCACAGGCUGUGAACUCGAAGAGUAGGGCGGGACACGUGGUAUCCUGUCUGAAUAUGGGGGGACCAUCCUCCAAGGCUAAAUACUCCUGACUGACCGAUAGUGAACCAGUACCGUGAGGGAAAGGCGAAAAGAACCCCGGCGAGGGGAGUGAAAAAGAACCUGAAACCGUGUACGUACAAGCAGUGGGAGCACCUUCGGGUGUGACUGCGUACCUUUUGUAUAAUGGGUCAGCGACUUAUAUUCUGUAGCAAGGUUAACCGUAUAGGGGAGCCGCAGGGAAACCGAGUCUUAACUGGGCGUUAAGUUGCAGGGUAUAGACCCGAAACCCGGUGAUCUAGCCAUGGGCAGGUUGAAGGUUGGGUAACACUAACUGGAGGACCGAACCGACUAAUGUUGAAAAAUUAGCGGAUGACUUGUGGCUGGGGGUGAAAGGCCAAUCAAACCGGGAGAUAGCUGGUUCUCCCCGAAAGCUAUUUAGGUAGCGCCUCGUGAAUUCAUCUUCGGGGGUAGAGCACUGUUUCGGCUAGGGGGUCAUCCCGACUUACCAACCCGAUGCAAACUACGAAUACCGAAGAAUGUUAUCACGGGAGACACACGGCGGGUGCUAACGUCCGUCGUGAAGAGGGAAACAACCCAGACCGCCAGCUAAGGUCCCAAAGUCAUGGUUAAGUGGGAAACGAUGUGGGAAGGCACAGACAGCCAGGAUGUUGGCUUAGAAGCAGCCAUCAUUUAAAGAAAGCGUAAUAGCUCACUGGUCGAGUCGGCCUGCGCGGAAGAUGUAACGGGGCUAAACCAUGCACCGAAGCUGCGGCAGCGACACUAUGUGUUGUUGGGUAGGGGAGCGUUCUGUAAGCCUGCGAAGGUGACCUGUGAGGGUUGCUGGAGGUAUCAGAAGUGCGAAUGCUGACAUAAGUAACGAUAAAGCGGGUGAAAAGCCCGCUCGCCGGAAGACCAAGGGUUCCUGUCCAACGUUAAUCGGGGCAGGGUGAGUCGACCCCUAAGGCGAGGCCGAAAGGCGUAGUCGAUGGGAAACAGGUUAAUAUUCCUGUACUUGGUGUUACUGCGAAGGGGGGACGGAGAAGGCUAUGUUAGCCGGGCGACGGUUGUCCCGGUUUAAGCAUGU
rnacentral:rRNA from 1 species